GACGAACGCUGGCGGCGUGCCUAAUACAUGCAAGUCGAGCGAACGGGCCCGGAGCUUGUUGCUCUCAUGUUUGGGGCGGACGGGUGAAUCACAUGUGGAUCACCCCCUUAUCUGUCUGGGAAAACUACGAAAAACCGGCUCUUAUCCCCUAUAAUAUUUUGCACCGCAUUGUUCGAAAGUGAAUGACGGUCGUUCUGGCUCUUAUCGAUGCAUCCGCGCUUGAUUAGCUAGUUGGUAAGUUCACGGCUUACCAAGGGAACGAUGCAUGGCCUACUUGACGGGCUGAUAGGCCACACUGGAACUGAGACACGGUCCAGACUACUGCGAUAGGGAGCAGUAGGGAAUCUUCCGCAAUGGGCGAAAGCCUGACGGAGCAGGGCCGCGUGAGUGAUGAAGGUGUUCGGAUCGUAAAAAUCUGUUAUUAGGGAAGAACAUAUGUGUAAGUAACUGUGCACAUCUUGACGGUACCUAGUAAGAAAGCCACGGCUAACUACGUG
rnacentral:rRNA from 1 species